rnacentral:rRNA from 1 species
ACGUAGGGAGCAAGCGUUGUCCGGAAUUACUGGGCGUAAAGGGCGCGUAGGCGGACGGAUAAGUCAGAUGUGAAAUCUCCGGGCUCAACCCGGAGCGUGCAUUUGAAACUGUCUGUCUUGAGGGCAGGAGAGGAAAGUGGAAUUCCUAGUGUAGCGGUGAAAUGCGUAGAUAUUAGGAGGAACACCAGUGGCGAAGGCGACUUUCUGGACUGAACCUGACGCUGAGGCGCGAAAGCAUGGGGAGCGAACGG